GAUGAACGCUGGCGGCGUGCCUAAUACAUGCAAGUCGAGCGAACAGACGAGGAGCUUGCUCCUCUGACGUUAGCGGCGGACGGGUGAGUAACACGUGGAUAACCUACCUAUAAGACUGGGAUAACUUCGGGAAACCGGAGCUAAUACCGGAUAAUAUAUUGAACCGCAUGGUUCCAUAGUGAAAGACGGUUUUGCUGUCACUUAUAGAUGGAUCCGCGCCGCAUUAGCUAGUUGGUAAGGUAACGGCUUACCAAGGCAACGAUGCGUAGCCGACCUGAGAAGGUGAUCGGCCACACUGGAACUGAGACACGGUCCAGACUCCUACGGGAGGCAGCAGUAGGGAAUCUUCCGCAAUGGGCGAAAGCCUGACGGAGCAACGCCGCGUGAGUGAUGAAGGUCUUCGGAUCGUAAAACUCUGUUAUUAGGGAAGAACAAAUGUGUAAGUAACUAUGCACGUCUUGACGGUACCUAAUCAGAAAGCCACGGCUAACUACGUG
rnacentral:rRNA from 1 species